GAAAGGAGUAAAGAGGUAAACUAAAGCCAGUCACUCAUUUCCUCCCAUGCUUAUUGACUUAGGAUUUAUGGUGCCAGGUUCUGUGCUAGCGGCUUGUGGGGGAUACAGAAGUGAAUCAGACACUAUCUUGUCCUCAAGGAUGUCCCUGCUUCCUGUUAGCAACACAGCAUUUAGUCAUUCCAUAAACAUCCUCUUAGCACCUACUCUGUGCCUGGCAUAGAGCUUAGUGAUAAAUGAAACAUCACCCUUGUCCUCAGGGGGCUCCCAGUCUGGGAGUGGGGAGCCCCUGGCUUCCAAGUAAUAGAAAGAUCAAUAUGCAGAAGCUACAUUGUAAGUUGCAUGAGAAUGGCAGGGUCUGUCUUGCUCCAGUUAUAUUCCCAGUGCCUAGCACAGGUAGUGGCAUAUACUAGUUGCCCAAUAAAUAUUUGUUACAGCUAUAGACUUGGCUACAAUGCAGAUUUUAUGUUCAUGCUGGUUAGUUGAGGCGGCAUGUGUGAUACAGAAAGAGAAUUAUCCUCUGCUGUCAGAGACUCUGUUUUCAAUGGGGAUUUCAUGGGGGAAAAUAUUUCACCUUGAGAGCUGGACAUUUUAAGACACAAAAUGUGAGGACGCCCACAUAUCUCUUCAUUGUUGUCAUAAUUUCCCAGCUAGGUUCAGAAUGCAAAGGUGAUUUUUUGAACGUGUCAUGUGCAGGUUAUUCCUUUCUAAGUACAGGAUGUAGUGAGUAAGAAAGCUGAUUCUAACUAACCUUCUUAGAGAGAAGGAAAAAGAAAGCUAAUAACUCUUCUAUUUGACUGUUUAAAUUUUCCUUUUCUAGAUAAAUAUGUUCUGAUAGGUGAUUUUCUUGUCCACAGCUCUGUAUGGCUAAGCGUUUUCUCCUAAAAUCCCUUGAAAACUGUGAGAAGACCAUAAGAAGAUCAUAUCUUUAAUUCUAUUUCACAAGUCACACAAUAUUCCAAUCAAAUACAGAUGGUUGAGAAAAGUCAUCCAUCUUCCCUCCCCACCCUCCCACAGCCCCUCAACCACUGCCCUGAAACUUAUAUGCUGUUAUCCGCAGCUCCAUCUGGAGCAUCACAGCUACUGUCAACCCUGACGCUCUUUCUGAAAAAACACCGGAUGGACAUCAGAACUAUUUCUUUAAGGAUGUUACUGAGCCACACAGGAAAACUUGCCUUAUGAUUUUGAAUGCACGGAUCUGAUUUGACUAAACAUGAUAACUAGAGAAUCACCCAAUCUAC
rnacentral:lncRNA from 10 species